AUACUGACCUGGCAGGGGAGACACCAUGAUCAGGCAGGUGGUCCCCCAGGGAGAGGCCCGGCCAUUGCACUGCAGCUGUGCUGGUCCCUGUGAUUUCCUGAAGUGUGGGAAACUCGAGUGUAGAAUUUGUGGUAGUGGGGGCCUCUGUGUGUGCCAUCCCCUG
ensembl:snRNA U1 U1 spliceosomal RNA